rnacentral:tRNA from 1 species
GGGGUUGUGGCUCAGAGGUAGAGUGCUCGCCUAGGAUGCGUGGGGCACUGGGUUCGAUCUUCAGCACCACA